GUGUGACUGCGUACCUUUUGUAUAAUGGGUCAGCGACUUAUAUUCUGUAGCAAGGUUAACCGAAUAGGGGAGCCGAAGGGAAACCGAGUCUUAACUGGGCGUUAAGUUGCAGGGUAUAGACCCGAAACCCGGUGAUCUAGCCAUGGGCAGGUUGAAGGUUGGGUAACACUAACUGGAGGACCGAACCGACUAAUGUUGAAAAAUUAGCGGAUGACUUGUGGCUGGGGGUGAAAGGCCAAUCAAACCGGGAGAUAGCUGGUUCUCCCCGAAAGCUAUUUAGGUAGCGCCUCGUGAAUUCAUCUCCGGGGGUAGAGCACUGUUUCGGCAAGGGGGUCAUCCCGACUUACCAACCCGAUGCAAACUGCGAAUACCGGAGAAUGUUAUCACGGGAGACACACGGCGGGUGCUAACGUCCGUCGUGAAGAGGGAAACAACCCAGACCGCCAGCUAAGGUCCCAAAGUCAUGGUUAAGUGGGAAACGAUGUGGGAAGGCCCAGACAGCCAGGAUGUUGGCUUAGAAGCAGCCAUCAUUUAAAGAAAGCGUAAUAGCUCACUGGUCGAGUCGGCCUGCGCGGAAGAUGUAACGGGGCUAAACCAUGCACCGAAGCUGCGGCAGCGACGCUUAUGCGUUGUUGGGUAGGGGAGCGUUCUGUAAGCCUGUGAAGGUGUACUGUGAGGUAUGCUGGAGGUAUCAGAAGUGCGAAUGCUGACAUAAGUAACGAUAAAGCGGGUGAAAAGCCCGCUCGCCGGAAGACCAAGGGUUCCUGUCCAACGUUAAUCGGGGCAGGGUGAGUCGACCCCUAAGGCGAGGCCGAAAGGCGUAGUCGAUGGGAAACAGGUUAAUAUUCCUGUACUUGGUGUUACUGCGAAGGGGGGACGGAGAAGGCUAUGUUGGCCGGGCGACGGUUGUCCCGGUUUAAGCGUGUAGGCUGGUUUUCCAGGCAAAUCCGGAAAAUCAAGGCUGAGGCGUGAUGACGAGGCACUACGGUGCUGAAGCAACAAAUGCCCUGCUUCCAGGAAAAGCCUCUAAGCAUCAGGUAACAUCAAAUCGUACCCCAAACCGACACAGGUGGUCAGGUAGAGAAUACCAAGGCGCUUGAGAGAACUCGGGUGAAGGAACUAGGCAAAAUGGUGCCGUAACUUCGGGAGAAGGCACGCUGAUAUGUAGGUGAAGUCCCUCGCGGAUGGAGCUGAAAUCAGUCGAAGAUACCAGCUGGCUGCAACUGUUUAUUAAAAACACAGCACUGUGCAAACACGAAAGUGGACGUAUACGGUGUGACGCCUGCCCGGUGCCGGAAGGUUAAUUGAUGGGGUCAGCGCAAGCGAAGCUCUUGAUCGAAGCCCCGGUAAACGGCGGCCGUAACUAUAACGGUCCUAAGGUAGCGAAAUUCCUUGUCGGGUAAGUUCCGACCUGCACGAAUGGCGUAAUGAUGGCCAGGCUGUCUCCACCCGAGACUCAGUGAAAUUGAACUCGCUGUGAAGAUGCAGUGUACCCGCGGCAAGACGGAAAGACCCCGUGAACCUUUACUAUAGCUUGACACUGAACAUUGAGCCUUGAUGUGUAGGAUAGGUGGGAGGCUUUGAAGUGUGGACGCCAGUCUGCAUGGAGCCGACCUUGAAAUACCACCCUUUAAUGUUUGAUGUUCUAACGUUGACCCGUAAUCCGGGUUGCGGACAGUGUCUGGUGGGUAGUUUGACUGGGGCGGUCUCCUCCUAAAGAGUAACGGAGGAGCACGAAGGUUGGCUAAUCCUGGUCGGACAUCAGGAGGUUAGUGCAAUGGCAUAAGCCAGCUUGACUGCGAGCGUGACGGCGCGAGCAGGUGCGAAAGCAGGUCAUAGUGAUCCGGUGGUUCUGAAUGGAAGGGCCAUCGCUCAACGGAUAAAAGGUACUCCGGGGAUAACAGGCUGAUACCGCCCAAGAGUUCAUAUCGACGGCGGUGUUUGGCACCUCGAUGUCGGCUCAUCACAUCCUGGGGCUGAAGUAGGUCCCAAGGGUAUGGCUGUUCGCCAUUUAAAGUGGUACGCGAGCUGGGUUUAGAACGUCGUGAGACAGUUCGGUCCCUAUCUGCCGUGGGCGCUGGAGAACUGAGGGGGGCUGCUCCUAGUACGAGAGGACCGGAGUGGACGCAUCACUGGUGUUCGGGUUGUCAUGCCAAUGGCACUGCCCGGUAGCUAAAUGCGGAAGAGAUAAGUGCUGAAAGCAUCUAAGCACGAAACUUGCCCCGAGAUGAGUUCUCCCUGACUCCUUGAGAGUCCUGAAGGAACGUUGAAGACGACGACGUUGAUAGGCCGGGUGUGUAAGCGCAGCGAUGCGUUGAGCUAACCGGUACUAAUGAACCGUGAGGCUUAACCUU
rnacentral:rRNA from 1 species